ensembl:lncRNA
AUGAGGACUGGGGAUGAUUCAUUAUCUGUUCUGUGGAAUCACUGUUGCAAACACCCACUCAUUUUUACAGGUGAGGACAGGGUAGCUGAGAUAUCAAUGAUGUCACUUUAUAGGUACGAAGGAACAGAGCUGAACCCAACUCCUCUAAACCCCCUAACCAAUGUGCUUUCCAUUAUAUUAUGGUUGCCUCCUCUCCUAACCCAUCUGCUUCCAUGUUUUCACUCACCUUCUCUCUUUUUUUCCCAGGGGGUUUUUCCCAGUUAUUUCUGGAUUCCUAGGCUCCUGCAUUCCAUUUCUCAGUUCGCUGUUCCAGAGGCAACAGGGCACCAGAUCUAUGGUCUGAUGAGCAGAGAUGGACUCCUUGAACUUGGACUGUGGUAUCUGGGGAAGACUGGACACCAUUCCCACAUGCUUUUCUUGACAACUCCAGUCCUUCCUUUGAGCUGGUCUGGAGGGACAGAACUGAGUGAUCGACUAGAAUUUCCAAUGAGCUCAACGGGAACUCUGGCGAUGUCUGAGGCCCAUGGAUACCCUAAGAAAAAGGAGUGGCCCAAAGCCCGAACCCAUGGAAAUCAUCCUGGGAUGGCUUUACAUUCUUGCUUUGCAUUUAUGGACAACAAAAAGAAAGAGUUUUAAAGUGAAUUUCCAGACUGAGAAGCUGCCUGUCUAGAUCUUAGUGUUAAUGUCUUCAUAGCCCAUGGGAGAUCUUCCUGUCUACCCCCUUGCCUCUAGGGGAGGUGGGCACACAUGCCUUCUCAAAACAGAUGAAUGAAUGACAGUCUUAGUCCUGGAGAGCCACGGCUUUUAUCCUUGUGUUUGACAACUCUUAUAGUUGGCAUUUUCCUUUCCCUCUAUAACUCUCAAUCCUUUUUAAUAGAAUGAAGCACUUUUUCAUCAUUCACUCCUAACACUGAGCAACCCCUGUGUGUGUGUGUGUGUGUGUGUGUGUGUGUGUGUGUGUGUGUGUGUGUGUGUGUGUGUGUAAGAGGAGGAAGAUCCAGUGAAAGGAGAAGACUGUCCCAUCUUCUUAUGGGAGAGAUACUGGAUCUAUCUUCAGAGAACCUCUGGUAGGAUGGGGGAAGAUAGGAGCUCUGCCAUGAAGGAGCUCUCCCAGGCUAGGAUAGUAAGCCAGACUUCCCUAACCUUUCCACCAAAAACAGACAAAACAUUCAAAACCAAAACUGUGAAUGUGAAUUCUUUUAACAGCAUUGUUUUUUCUAUGGAGAGAAAAUAAUACUCAGAUAAUGCUAAGAAACUAUGAUCACUUCAUGUCCAAGAACUAUGAGUGUGGGAUGAUAAUUCCAAAGAAGACCUUUUGGAAUAAUGGGCAUGAUUCUAGACUCAAAGUCAGGAAGAUCUGGGUUCAAAUUCUAACCCAGAUACUUACCAGCUGUGUGUCCUUGUCUAAGGUCACACAUCAUCUGUCACAGAGUUAGAAAUGCUUGAACCCAGGGCUUCUGACUCCAGGAGUAUUUUCCAGCACAUCUCCAUGUUUGUGGGAAGGCAGGAAGUAUCUAAGUUUCUUAGCUGUAUGAUCCUGGACAAGUCACUUAAUCCUAAUUGCCUAGCUUUUAUUGCUCUUCUGCCUUAGAAUCAACAUUAAUACUAAUACAUAAAUUAAUGUUUUUUUUAAAGUAUCUAAGGGAGUUGUUUCCUGUAGAUAAUAGGUUAUGAUCAUUUUUCUCUCCAGAAUUGUUCUGUGGGAUAUAUGGGGGCGGGGGGGGGGGAGUGUGGCUUUUCAAGAUGACCCAUCAUGAUUCCUUCUGAUUCUACUUUUACAGCCUUCACCAGUUUCAGGCACAUCUCAUCAUGGCAAUGGUGGAAACAUUAAACAGGGUCACGUCUCAGGGAAAGAAACUAUCUGGAAAUUGCCAGUUUGAAUCUGGGCCCCUUAGGAGCAAGAUAUUCAACUGAGUUCUGGAAUCCUUCUCCAUAUUCCCCAGUUCUUCCUACUGCCCUAACAUUGUCCUCUAAGAUUUCUCUUUUCUCCCUUUUUUAUCCUGGGUGGCAGUUAUAACUUGUAGUCCUGGUGUGUUCCUCCCAAGGGGAGGCUAUGCAGAGGAGUCUUCCUCUGAGUGGAGAUGUUGGGGCCAAAUGUAGUCCUUGAGUGCUCUCCUUUGUGUAAUCUCCCACUUCCAGGGUGGGUAUUAAGGGAUCAUGGAGGUCAUCUACUUCAAACAUUUCAUUUUAUAGAUGUCCAAAGACAUUAGAAGACUUGUUCAAGGUCAUGUAGAUAGUAAGUGGCAAAGUCAGGAUUUGAACCUGAGUCCUCUGAUUCCAAAUUUAAUGUCUUUUGUAUUGUAUAUUGCAAAAUUACACCCACUGGGCCUUUAUCAAUCAGAAGUUACAGAUAGGCAAUUGCCAAAAAGCAAUUGUAUUGGAGAGCUCUGCUAUUUGCUAGCUGUGCGACUUUGGAUAAAUCAUUUAUCCUCUCUGGACCUUAGUUUCCUUAUCUGUGAAAUGAGUGAGUAGAAAUAGGUAAAUGGUCAAAGGACACAAACCAUUUUCAAAAGAAAAAUGGUAAACUAUUGACCAUGUGAAAAAUGACUAAAUCACUAAGAGAAAUGCAACUUAUAACACCUCGGUGGUUUCUUUUCAUGCCCCUUAAAAUUGUUGUUUAAUUGUUUCAGUCAUGUCUGACUCUUCAGAACCUCAUUAGGGAUUUUGUUGACCAAGAUAAUAUAGUGGUUUGGCAUUUCCUUUUCCAUCUCAUUUUACAGAUGAGUAAACUGAGGCAAACAGAGUUGGUGAAGACACUUGCCCAGGGUCACCCAUCUUGUGUCUGAGUUCAGCAAUGAACAUUACCCUUAAAAUUAGUAAAGAUGAAAAAAGGUAAAAACAGUCAAUGCCUUCUGGUAGAUUUCCCUGCCUCUAGCAUCAAUCCAUGACAAUCCAUCUUCAACUCAGCUGCCCAGAAACUUUUCCUAAAACACAAGUCUGACUAUGUCACACCCCCCCCCCCUAUUGGGCAAAUUCCAGUGGCUCCCUCUUUCUUUCAGGGGCAAACAUAAAAUUCUCUUGUUUGUAUUUAAAGCCCUUUACAGCCUGGUCUCUCCUCCUUUUCCAGUCUCCCUUCACUUACCUGCCCUCCCCACACUCUACAAUCCCAAUACACAGUUUUCCUUGCCCUUCUUCACAUAUGACACUCAGAUUCUGCCUUUGUACUGGCUGUCCCUUUCCCUGGAGUAUUCCCUAUUCUUGCCUCUGUUUCCUGGCUUCCCUUGGGUUCUUUUAAGACUCAACUCAAAUCAGGAGAUCUGGGUGGCUCAGUGGAUAGAGUGCCAGGCCUGGAUUUGAGAGAACCUGGGUUCAAAUCUGGCCUCAGACACUGCCAAGCUGUGUGACCCUGGGCAAGUCACUUAAUCCCCAUUGUCCAGCCCUUACUACUCUUUUGUCUUGAAAUUGAUACUUUGUGUCAAUUCUAAGAUGGAAAGCAAGGUUGUUUUUUUUUUUUUUAAUGACCCAAUAGGACAGGGGGCACUAUGGACAAAAAUGGGCUCUCUCACCUCCUGGGUCUGAUAGUUGACAUAAGGACUUGACCUGUGAUCUCCCCGAAAUAGGGGCCUUCCCAACAAGGAUACUCCCUAUCAAAGAUCAUCAGUACCUGCUCUACAGUGUUCCAUGUUAGAGAUCUUCUUGGAGUCCUGACAGUGACUUACUCAGAUCACACAGCUCAUAUGGCUUAGACUUGGGCACUGAAUCAAUCCAGGUAUUCCUGACUUGGAGCUCUCUAUCCAUGAGGCCAUCCCACUAUGCUAGUGUUAAAGAAGAAAGAACAGUCCCCAAUUCACUGGGGUCCUGAUCUCUGAUCUGCUUAAAUAGAGGUCAAAUAUGGUAAGUAGAGAAGGAGGGAAACAAUUAUUAAGUGCCCACUUUGUGCCUUGUGGUCAUUGUGCAAUGUGUGGGCAUUGUACUAAGCACUUUAUUUUUUAAUUUUUUAAACCAUUACCUUCUGUCAGUAUCAGUUCUAAGACAGAAGAGUGGCAAGAACUAGGUAAUGGGGGUUAAAUGACUUGUUUAGGAUCACCAGUUACGAAGUGCCUGAGGUCAGAUUUGAACCCAGGUUCUCUUGACUCCCAAGUCUGAAACUCUAGCUUCCAUGCUACAUAGCUGUCCUCUAAGCCCUGAAUAAAUAUUCUCUCUCUUGAUCCUUACA